UGGGAACGUGCCCAAAGGUACGGAACAACUCCGGGAAACUGGAGCUAAUACCGUAUGUGCCCGAAAGGGGAAUGAUUCAUCGCCUUUGGAUCGGCCCGCGUCUGAUUAGCUAGUUGGCGGGGUAAUGGCCCAUCAAGGCGACGAUCAGUAGCUGGUCUGAGAGGAUGACCAGCCACACUGGGACUGAGACACGGCCUAGACUCCUACGGGAGCAG
rnacentral:rRNA from 1 species